rnacentral:rRNA from 1 species
GAUGAACGCUGGCGGCGUGCCUAAUACAUGCAAGUCGAGCGAACGGACGAGAAGCUUGCUUCUCUGAUGUUAGCGGCGGACGGGUGAGUAACACGUGGAUAACCUACCUAUAAGACUGGGAUAACUUCGGGAAACCGUAGCUAAUACCGGAUAAUAUUUUGAACCGCAUGGUUCAAAAGUGAAAGACGGUCUUGCUGUCACUUAUAGAUGGAUCCGCGCUGCAUUAGCUAGUUGGUAAGGUAACGGCUUACCAAGGCAACGAUGCAUAGCCGACCUGAGAGGGGGAUCGGCCACACUGGAACUGAGAACCGGUCCAGACUCCUAGGGGGGGCAGCAGUAGGGAAUUUUCCGCAAGGGGCGAAAGCCUGACGGAGCAACGCCGGGGGAGUGAUGAAGGUUUUCGGAUCGUAAAACUCUGUUAUUAGGGAAGAAAAUAUGUGAAAGUAACGGUGCACAUCUUGACGGUACCUAAUCAAAAAGCCACGGCUAACUACGU